rnacentral:rRNA from 1 species
AUUGAACGCUGGCGGCAUGCUUUACACAUGCAAGUCGAACGGUAACAGGCCGCAAGGUGCUGACGAGUGGCGCACGGGUGAGUAAUGCAUCGGAACGUGCCCAGUCGUGGGGGUUAACUACUCGAAAGAGUAGCUAAUACCGCAUACGAUCUAUGGAUGAAAGCGGGGGACCGUAAGGCCUCGCGCGAUUGGAGCGGCCGAUGUCCGAUUAGGUAGUUGGUGGGGUAAAGGCUCACCAAGCCAACGAUCUGUAGCUGGUCUGAGAGGACAACCAGCCACACUGGGACUGAGACACGGCCCAGACUCCUACGGGAGGCAGCAGUGGGGAAUUUUGGACAAUGGGCGCAAGCCUGAUCCAGCAAUGCCGCGUGCAGGAAGAAGGCCUUCGGGUUGUAAACUGCUUUUGUACGGAACGAAACGGCUCUGGUUAAUACCCGGGGCUAAUGACGGUACCGGAAGAAUAAGCACCGGCUAACUACGUG